UUGUACACACCGCCCGUCGAAACUACCGAUUGAAUGGCAAAGUGAGGUCUUGGGGGCGUUGGCUUGGUGGGCGACCGCCGCGCUGAUGCAAACUUGAUCAAACUUGGUCAUAAAGAGGGAGUACAAGUCGUAACAAGGUUUCCGUAGGUGAACCUGCGGGAGGGUCAUUUUUGAACCAUAAAAACACUGUGACGAGCCCUUGCGUAGCGAGGGCGACUGCUUCCGGUUCGCCGGGAAAUUUUUUAAACCAAAUCUGAUAAUGAAAGUGAAAAACUUUCAACAACGGGUCUCUUGGUUCUCGCAUCGAUGAAGAACGCAGCAAAGCGCGAUAGGUAAUGCGAAUUGCAGACGUGAGUCAUUGAAUCUUUGAACGCACAUUGCGCCAGUAAACUGGCAUACUGCGUUGAGCGUCGGCCUUCCUCCACAGGUGCUGCUACAAACAGUAGUGAAAGGCAUGGGAACGCACCCGAAAGCAAACCGGUGCUGACCUACAAAUUCGACCUCAGCGUAGUAAGAAAACCCGCUGAACAAAAGCAUAUCAAUAAGCGGGGGGAAAGAAACCAACAGGGGUUGCCCUAGUAAUGGCGAAUGAACAGGCAAAAGCUCAGAUUUGAAACCCUCGGGGUUGUAAUCUGGGGACCUGGGUUUGGCACGCUGACCAAGUCUUCUGGGACGGGGCGCCAUGGGGGGUGACAGCCCCGUAGCAGCAGCCGCAGUAAAUCCGGGUCGACGAGUCG
rnacentral:rRNA from 1 species